rnacentral:rRNA from 1 species
AGAAGCCCGGAGAUGGGCACUGAGACAAGGGCCCAGGCCCUAUGGGGCGCAGCAGGCGCGAAAACUCUGCAAUGGGCGAAAGCCUGACAGGGUUACUCUGAGUGAUUUCCGCUAAGGAGAUCUUUUGGCAGCUCUAAAAAUGGUGCAGAAUAAGGGGUGGGCAAGUCUGGUGUCAGCCGCCGCGGUAAUACCAGCACCCCGAGUGGUCGGGACGAUUAUUGGGCCUAAAGCAUCCGUAGCCGGUUGUGCAAGUCCUCCGUUAAAUCCAGCCGCUCAACGGAUGGGCUGCGGAGGAUACUACAGAACUAGGAGGCGGGAGAGGCAAGCGGUACUUAGUGGGUAGGGGUAAAAUCCUUUGAUCCAUUGAAGA